rnacentral:rRNA from 1 species
GACGAACGCUGGCGGCGUGCUUAACACAUGCAAGUCGAACGGAAAGGCCCUGCUUUUGUGGGGUGCUCGAGUGGCGAACGGGUGAGUAACACGUGAGUAACCUGCCCUUGACUUUGGGAUAACUUCAGGAAACUGGGGCUAAUACCGGAUAGGAGCUCCUGCUGCAUGGUGGGGGUUGGAAAGUUUCGGCGGUUGGGGAUGGACUCGCGGCUUAUCAGCUUGUUGGUGGGGUAGUGGCUUACCAAGGCUUUGACGGGUAGCCGGCCUGAGAGGGUGACCGGCCACAUUGGGACUGAGAUACCGCCCAGGCUCCUUCGGGAGGGAGCAGUGGGGAAUAUUGCACAAUGGGCGGAAGCCUGAUGCAGCAACGCCGCGUGCGGGAUUACGGCCUUCGGGUUGUAAACCGCUUUCGCCUGUGACGAAGCGUGAGUGACGGUAAUGGGUAAAGAAGCACCGGCUAACUACGUG